rnacentral:rRNA from 1 species
GGGGAAUUUUGGGCAAUGGGCGAAAGCCUGACCCAGCAACGCCGCGUGAGGGAUGAAGUAUUUCGGUAUGUAAACCUCGAAAGAAUGGGAAGAAUAAAUGACGGUACCAUUUAUAAGCUCCGGCUAACUACGUGCCAGCAGCCGCGGUAAUACGUAGGGAGCAAGCGUUGUUCGGAUUUACUGGGCGUAAAGGGCGCGUAGGCGGCGCGGUAAGUCACUUGUGAAAUCUCUGAGCUUAACUCAGAACGGCCAAGUGAUACUGCUGUGCUAGAGUGCGGAAGAGGCAACCGGAAUUCUUGGUGUAGCGGUGAAAUGCGUAGAUAUCAAGAGGAACACCUGAGGCGAAGGCGGGUUGCUGGGCCGACACUGACGCUGAUGCGCGAAAGCCAGGGGAGCAAACG